rnacentral:rRNA from 1 species
UUGGAGGGCAAGUCUGGUGUCAGCAGCCGCGGUAAUUCCAGCUCCAAUAGCGUAUAUUAAAGUUGUUGUGGUUAAAAAGCUCGUAGUUGAACCUUGGGCCUGGCUGGCCGGUCCGCCUCACCGCGUGCACUGGUCCGGCCGGGCCUUUCCCUCUGCGGAACCCCAUGCCCUUCACUGGGUGUGGCGGGGAAACAGGACUUUUACUUGAAAAAAUUAGAGUGCUCAAGGCAGGCCUAUGCUCGAAUACAUUAGCAUGGAAUAAUAGAAUAGGA